rnacentral:piRNA from 1 species
UGAGUGUAGGAACCCCCAGGAACUGGAGU